UCCCAACACAAUGAACCUUCACUGGGAAGCGGUUAACGCCACAGCCUCAUAACUGGUGUAAGUGCCAGGCAUAAGUGACAUCGAGCACUCAGUUCUAAACAGGAUAUCUAUAUCAAGUCCCCACUCCCACCCUCAAAACUCUUCCCAGGAAGAGGAAGCAGAGAGGAUGUAGGAGGCAGAGGAUGAGGAGUAGCGCUGUGAAGUACCAGCUGCUUCUAGAUGGCACACGGCCAUUGCACUUCAGAACUCACCGCAGUCCUGAUUGCCAGCACAAGACCUGCAAUGAGCUCAAGCCAAUAAAAACUCUAGCUCGGAUGGAGGCGUGGCCACAGCUGAGGAGCUAUUGGCAAAGGAUGGCUGUUGAGCCUUGAGCGGCAGCAGUAGCCAGGAUGCCUCACAAAGCCAAACAAAUUAGU